rnacentral:rRNA from 1 species
UUAGGACGAACGCUGGCGGCGUGCCUAAUACAUGCAAGUCGAACGGUCUUUCUAUGGAAGCUUGCUUCCACUGAGAAGAUAGUGGCGAACGGGUGAGUAACACGUGGGUAACCUGCCCAUAAGAGGGGGGAUAACAUCCGGAAACGGGUGCUAAUACCGCAUAGUUUUCUUGAUCGCAUGAUCGGGAAAGGAAAGACGGCCUUUGUGCUGUCGCUUAUGGAUGGACCCGCGGCGUAUUAGUUAGUUGGUGAGGUAACGGCUCACCAAGACGAUGAUACGUAGCCGACCUGAGAGGGUGAUCGGCCACAUUGGGACUGAGACACGGCCCAAACUCCUACGGGAGGCAGCAGUAGGGAAUCUUCCGCAAUGGACGAAAGUCUGACGGAGCAACGCCGCGUGAGUGAAGAAAGGUUUUCGGAUCGUAAAACUCUGUUGUCAGAGAAGAACAAGUUGGAGAGUAACUGCUCCAGCCUUGACGGUAUCUGACCAGAAAGCCACGGCUAACUACGUGCCAGCCGCUGC